rnacentral:rRNA from 1 species
UACAGAGGGUGCAAGCGUUAAUCGGAAUUACUGGGCGUAAAGCGCGCGUAGGUGGUUCGUUAAGUUGGAUGUGAAAUCCCCGGGCUCAACCUGGGAACUGCAUUCAAAACUGUCGAGCUAGAGUAUGGUAGGGGGUGGUGGAAUUUCCUGUGUAGCGGUGAAAUGCGUAGAUAUAGGAAGGAACACCAGUGGCGAAGGCGACCACCUGGACUGAUACUGACACUGAGGUGCGAAAGCGUGGGGAGCAAACAGG